GAGUUUGAUCAUGGCUCAGGACGAACGCUGGCGGCACGCCUAACACAUGCAAGUCGAACGGAGAUAUUUUGGCUUACUGAGAUAUCUUAGUGGCGGACGGGUGAGUAACACGUGAGCAACCUGCCUCUGAGAGAGGGAUAGCUUCUGGAAACGGAUGGUAAUACCUCAUAACAUAACGAAGCCGCAUGACUUUGUUAUCAAAGAUUUAUCACUCAGAGAUGGGCUCGCGUCUGAUUAGAUAGUUGGUGAGGUAACGGCUCACCAAGUCGACGAUCAGUAGCCGGACUGAGAGGUUGAACGGCCACAUUGGGACUGARACACGGCCCAGACUCCUACGGGAGGCAGCAGUGGGGAAUAUUGCACAAUGGGGGAAACCCUGAUGCAGCGAUGCCGCGUGGAARAARAAGGUUUUCGGAUUGUAAACUCCUGUCUUAAAGGACKAUAAUGACGGUACUUUAGGAGGAAGCUCCGGCUAACUACGUGCCAGCAGCCGCGGUAUACGUAGGGAGCKAGCGUUGUCCGGAAUUUACYGGGUG
rnacentral:rRNA from 1 species